GGAAGGGUGACGCAAAGAUCUGCUGCUCGAUGACGUCUUAUCUUCAUUUGAAUACCAUCCGCAGGCCCUGCACGGGUGCUCGAAUUUGUGCGAAACACGAGCUUAGCUUCCAGGAAAUAAUUGGGAGAUUUAUUAAGCGGCCUACCCUGGUCAGCGUUGGAAGGAUCCCUGGCCUAACGUUAAAGCACAUCCAUCCGUUUUCAGUUUGUUAAAUGACUAGGUCACAUACAUAACCUACGUAUAUACGAAAUAUAUAAUAAUGACAACAAUGGUAAUAAUAAUAAUAAUGUUAAC